CUCACACAGGGCCCUGCAUGCUGACCUACUUCUGAGGAAGGCCCUCCUGCAAUCAUAUGUCAGUGGGUGUGAAACUCCUGCGACUGGGCAGAAGGAGGUAUCCGACUGGCCAGGUGUGAGGAGGCGUCCUCCAUCCUGUCUCAUCUUCUCCACCUCCAGACAGCGUCUGCUCUGGCCCUGUCCCCUGGCAGAGCAUCCUACCGGCCCUCGCUCCUGCCUCUGAGACUCCUGCACGCCCCUCUGCACAUGGCACUUGCUGUGCUCUUUGAGAAGUUGAGUCAGACCUGAGAGUUUCCUGCCAGCACCCUGAACGGCUCCCACAGAACUUAGAG
rnacentral:lncRNA from 1 species